ACAAAAAUUAUCUUCCACUCUUCAGCUUCAGGGGAAGCGGAGGAGGCAGAGGGAGAGAGAGAGAGAGAAACGGAGAGAGGGAGUCAGCUACUCAGAGGAUCCUCAUCAUGUCAGACAGUAAAGAUCAGGAGAGCGUCCACGCAGCAGAGAAAGAUAAGGCCACAGCUGCACCAUCUGAGACACCCUGUGCGGAGCUGAAAACUGCCAUGGAGAAAUGCAUCGCAGAAAAAGGUGAAGAAAGCUGUAAAGAAGCAACUCAGGCCUACAAAAGCUGCAUGAAAACGUUAGGAUUUAAAGUUUAACAAAAGCUGAUUGGUACUGGCAUCUCUGAGCUGCCCAGUUCAUCAUUGGCCCUUCUUCCAGAGUUCCUCCAUUUUCCCAUUACUUCCUGCUCACUAACAAACCUUCUGCCCGGCAAAUAAUCCACAGCAGAAUAGUCGCAUCGAGCUGCAACGUUCUGACUUUAUUUGGUUGAAUAAAUGACCUUGAGGUACGCAACUUAUGAAGGAUUCACCCCAUCCCACACCUGUGACUUCCGGUAGCCUUUCAUUGGAGUGACGCUAAGUCAGGCACACAAUAUGAUGCACUUCUUAUUCAAGGACCACAAUCUUGACCCUUGACAUUAAGUGCAAGCAGAGGUCAAUCUUUUUUUUUUUAACUUUCAUGACUGUUAGUGAUGGAGAGCCAUGUUGCAACCCUUAAAUGUUCCAAAGCACUUCACAAUUAAAUUAGUUCUUUCCACAAACAAAUUGUACUAAAGAAGCUCUGAAACAAUUAACCAGUUAGUCCAGGUGGUGGGAUUUGCUGGAAAUAUCGAUCGAGUAACCUGCUCUGCUUCCGAAGUACCACAGGAUCUUCUUUAACGUUCAUUAUCAGCUUAGCCUCAGUGCCCCACUGGCCCCCCCAUUGACAUCGUCUUGCUACUUCUCUGGCUUCCUUCCAGCCUCACUCAGUCCAAGGCUCAAUGUUAUGCACCCCAGCUAAGUUUUCUUCUUUUUCUGUUUUUACCCUCAAUUUCUCCUUCAGUUGUUGCCAGAACAAGAUCUUUUACAUCCAGCUGAAACUCAAUUCUGCUCACUGAGUGUAAUGUUUGCCUCGUUUGUGUCCUCGAAUGCUUCUCAUUCGGUGCCAAGACUUGAGCCACAAGCACAGCCUAGGCAGCGAAAAUUAUCACCACUAUUUCAGCAUUGAUCUGAAAUUUCCCUGCACCAUCCUUUGCUGCGUGAGGUGAGGCCAAUUCCUGUUCAGCGAUGAGCCCAUGGUUGUUUUUUUUUGGCAAGUUCUAAAAUAUUAAGUGGGGGUGGGGGGUUGCAGGCAGAAUGAAUUAGGUUUAGGUACAAUGACUUUAUCAUCUGCAGCAAUGUCCUUUUAUCUCACAACCCAAUAGCUACUUCCCUCCCCUCCUUCCGAGCUCACCACCCUUCAUUUCCGACUUUUAGUGGCACAAGUGGCAAGACACUACAUCCUGGCACUUUCACCUUUCCUGUGAAGGCCUCUGUCCUCUUCAGCCACGUUUUCCCCAUCAACCCCAUCCCCUCUCCCUCAUCUGCCAUUCCGUGUCCGUUCUUUGCUCUGUGAAGAGGUUUGGGCAGUUUUACUACGUUAAAGACACUAGAUAAAUCCAAGUUCCCAAUCCAAGGUUUAUGUGCCGUGCUUUGAGAGGUGUAAUAAAAAUCUCCGUAAAAGCAAGAGCUUCUUAGCCCUAAUACCAAUGCAAAACUUCAGUCAGGGCCGCUGUUCAUUGACAUAGGAAAUAGGAGGAGUAGGCCAUUCAGUCCUUUGAGCCUGCUGUGCCAUUCAACUAGAUCAUGGCUGAUCUUCUACCUCAAUGCCAUUGACCCACACUAUCCCUAUAUUCCUUGAUGUCUUUAAUAUCCAUCAACCUCUGUCUUGAACGUACUCAAUGAUUGAGCCUCCACAGCCCUCUGAGGUAGAGAAUUCCAAAGAUUCACCACCCUCUGAGUGAAGAAAUUCUUCAUCGCAGUCCUAAAAUGACCUGCUCCUUAUUCUGAGACUGGCCCCACAACCAGGGGAAACAUCCUAUCUGAAUCCAUCCUGUCGCGACCUGUAAGAAUUAUGUACACUUCAAUGAGAUCACUUCUCAUUCUUCUAAAUUCUAGAGUCUCCUCAAUCUCUCCUCCUAUGACAAUCCCCCCCCCAUACCAGGAAUCAGUUCAGUGAACCUUCAUUGCACUUCUCUCUACGCAAAUAUAUUCUCCCUUAGGUAAGGAGACAAAAACUGUACACAAUACUUCAAGUGGAGUCCUGUGAUGAAUUUUUAUUCAUUCUUAAAGAAACAAAAUACUAGAAUAUUCACAUUUGAUCUGCGAUUUCCAUUCCUCAACAUGAGUUAAGAGCUACUAUGUAGUGCUUCAGAUAUGCGUGCACAUUAAUCUACAGUCCACGCAUAACAACCCCAACCAUCCCACACCCCACAACUCUGCCUUCCUCGUGAAAGACCCUGUAUUUGUGUCGACACUUAUGGUAUUUAGGUAUUUAAACCAUUCAAGGCAAAACGUUGCCAUGUAAUGCAACUGGCUCUUAAUGCAAGACCCACCAGGUGAUCAUGAGAGUCAGAUCACUGUUGAGAUUUCCGUGCCCCAACUCUCCAUCCCGGAAGGCAAAGCCGUGGAGAAUGUAGAAAAGGUGAAAAAGUUAAAAACAGAAAGUAAAAUCCGAAAUUGAAAAGGUUUCUCUGGCAAGUUCUCCCCACCCCCACCCAAUCCAACCCAAAACAAGACGACACAGAGAUUAGGAAGUGCCUGAAGCAGGAGAACCGUCAUCCACACCCACAAGCCCAGGUGACAGCCAUUCCACCCCACCCCCCUCUCCUGGGGCAUUUGCAGUACAUCAACCUAAUGGAUCUCCUCCUGUUCCUUGCCCUUCUCCCCCCUCCUCCCCCACACUUCACCAGCAUAGAACCGUCAACCAACCAUCAUCACUUGAAGAUUCAGCCAAUCUGCAACAUGGAGAUCUACUGAGGGCACUGACCAAUCGCCAGUCUUCAAUGAACCUCUUAUGAAGUCACAGCCAAUCGGUAUCAGCCCUGGCACAAGGUUUAACGACCUGGUGCCAAUCUAGUUUUGUUUUGAACCGACAUUGCUUGGAAAAAUAUUUUUUAAUAUAAUAAAAAUAUUAAAAUGCA